ACAUCUAGUUAAAUACCCUGCAUGGGGUUGAAUGGAAUAAGGGGAAGUAUUGAAGCAGUGUGGUCACUUGGUGUAUGUACUUUUUGGGUGACUGCUGCAGAGCUGCCUGUAUGUGUGUCAAAGCACAUCCAUUGUAACGUUUGAUGGGUUAGACACAACAAGUAUUUAUAACCUGCUGUAUACGGGCAGGGACCAUGCUAGCUUCCUGGAGUAGAGAUGAGUAAGGUGCAUUUCCUGCCCUUGAGCAUUUUAAAUUUAGGACAGAGGGAGAAUAACAUGUAGGCGGAUGGUUUUAGUCAAGUGCAGUAAUGAUUAUGCUAGGAGAACCCAGCUCGGUCUACGUGUAGGUGCUUCGGGAAACGGGAGUCAGGAAGGAUUUCCUGGGAUACACACCCAAGCGGAACUUUGCACCCCAUCUUGGUCACUAAUUCACAGCCUACACUGGCCUUGCAUGGUGUUGCCGGACACCUGGGCCCAUAACUGAGUCGUGGACAAGGCCGUUCUACCAUUCGGCCAGUUGCUUCGGUAACGGAGAACACGGGCAGACCAGUGGGUGUCGUGGACAGGACCGGAUUCCCAUCCAUAGUCUGCUGUGAACUCCCCGGUCCGCAGCCGUGCUGCGUGGAGUGUCUGCUGAGGAUAAAGCCGUUCCGUCAUUUGCAGGAUGGUGAUUUUGGCGAAAGUAUGUGGGUAGGGAAAACAAGCCUCUGCUCAGAGUACCUGUCUAUUCCAGAAAAAGGACGCGAUGGCAGUGCAGGCAGCAGGCUGUCACGGGGCGCCCUCCCCGGGGCGGGGGUGGGAUGCUGAGGACACCGAGUUGGUCUCUGGGGUUGGCGAUCUGGGCAGCGGCCAUUGCCGCAUCAGAUUUAGGUAGCGGGAGUCCGAGUGGCAAAGCCCACCCAGCCCCGCUCUGGUAGCCUCUGCCCUGCUCUUCAGGAGCCCCUGGGGCGAGGCCGCGUGGCUGGGAGCAGAGGUGGGCCGAUCACCAGUCUGGUUCUCCAGUCCUUCUCAGGAGAAGUGGCCCUUGGGUGAGCGUCCCAGGUAGCUGAAAUAGAGGCACACGGGGUGCCCGCUGCAGAGUCUGUCCACGCGCUGCCUCCCCACGCUCCCUAUCACCAUUUCCCAAGUUUUCUUCCAAACCUCUGUCCACCAGAGUGAUCACUACUGUCCACCAUAUCUCUGGCCAUAUUUCGUUUUGGGCAAAAUGAGCAGUUGGGGGCUUUGCUUGAGCAGUGGCGAGGAUGUCCCUCCACUGCCAUCCUUCAGAGCCGUCUCGCGUGGGGCUGCAGUGCCCCAUCUGCCCAGUUUGGGGUGGUACCAGCACGUGGUGCGCAGCCAGCCGUGUGUCAGCCUGAGCGCUCCGUUUCGAAGUCAGCUGCUCAGAGGAUGCUCUUCUGAGGCCGCAGCUGUCGGUUAGGAGAGGCUGAACGUAGGAGGAGCUGGGGGCUAAGCUCCUUGCUCGUGCAGCUUACUUGUGAUUACAGAAUCUGUUCGGCUCUGGUCCAAUAUUUGCCACUUUGCCUUGAUGGUGGAGAGCUGCCCUGAAGGCCAAAUUCUGAUGCUGUGUGUCAUUGAGCGCCCAGGUCUGACAAAGCGUAAGACCAGAGGAGAGAUGGGGCCGGCAUAGAAUUGAGAAGUCUGGUACUUCUUAAUUACGUAGCUGAGGAGUCUGUUGAUAAAUUAAAACCCACAGGUGCUCUCCAAAGGUUCGGUUGGGGACCCAUGUGACAUGCAGAUUUGGCCGUGACUCUUCCCUACGUGAAAGGCUCUAACAGCCCCCGUGUAUUCAUUCAGCAAACACCGCUGGGUGCCCCCUGGGCCCGGCACCGGGUGCCGCAGCGGACGGGAGGACCGAGGUCCCCGCUCGCGCUCAUGACUCAGGAUGAGCACAGAGAUGCGGACAGACCGCAGCGCCCAGGGCCGGUGCCAGACCUGUGACGCUGCACGUGUCGGUUGGGAGAAAAUCUCCGGAGCCGUCAGUGGCUUCGUUGGUGACUUAAGAAUCCCCAGGUCUGGGAGUGAUACGAAGCCGAGGAAGUCGCUCGGGCCUCGGCCUGGGCUCCUCAUGGGUAACUUGGGCGCACGUUAUAGUCACUCGGGGAGCUUUAAAGCUGCCCUCACAAGGCCGGCGGCCCCUGGUCAUCCCGUCUUUUCUCCGCGGUGCUUCUCGGGGUGUCCCAGGCCAGCAGGGUCGGGCUUGCGUCGGAGCUUGUUACACAGGUAGAUCCCUACCGCCCCCGGGCCCCCCGUUCUCCCCGAAUCAGGACCAUCUGUCCCUCAACGAGCUCUCCAGGUGACUCCAGAGGAGCUAAUUUGAGGAGCGGCUGCCCCAGAGUCCUCACCAUCCUCGUCCUCGUCGUCGGGUCGGGGCUCGCUGCAGCCCCCCGUGUGGGCUGCUCGGACGCUGCGCCCCGGCCUGCGGUCUGGGUGGCUCCGGCCAGAUGCGGACCUUGUCAGACGCACGUGAAAUAAGAACCUAAAUUCUCUGUCUUGCUAGGUUAUCGCCGAGGAGUCUUUCGGAAGCAACGUCAAUAAAUUGCUGUCAGUGAUGUUUAGGAAUAAAAGCAAUGUGACAAGUGUG